CGUCUAGGCGGAAGGUCAAGCCCGAUGUGAAAGCGCCUGGCUUAACUGGGCGAGUGCGUUGGGAACUGGCUUACUAGAGGGCAGGCGACGGCGGUGGAAUUCCCGGUGGAGUGGUGAAAUGCGUAGAUAUCGGGAGGAACACCAGUGGCGAAGGCGGCCGCCGAGCCUGCAACUGACGCUGAAGCGCGACAGCGUGGGAGCAAACG
rnacentral:rRNA from 1 species